rnacentral:tRNA from 1 species
GCUUGGAUAUCUUAAAUUUAAAGUAUAACUCUGAAGAAGUUAUUAUAGGUUUAAUUAAACCUUCCAGGUA